ACACGGUGGAUGCCCUGGCAGUCAGAGGCGAUGAAGGGCGUGCUAAUCUGCGAUAAGCGCCGGUAAGGUGAUAUGAACCGUUAUAACCGGCGAUACCCGAAUGGGGAAACCCAGUGUGACUCGUCACACUAUCAUUAACUGAAUCCAUAGGUUAAUGAGGCGAACCGGGGGAACUGAAACAUCUAAGUACCCCGAGGAAAAGAAAUCAACCGAGAUUCCCCCAGUAGCGGCGAGCGAACGGGGAGGAGCCCAGAGCCUGAAUCAGCAUGUGUGUUAGUGGAAGCGUCUGGAAAGGCGCGCGAUACAGGGUGACAGCCCCGUACACAAAAGCGCAUGUGCUGUGAGCUCGAUGAGUAGGGCGGGACACGUGGUAUCCUGUCUGAAUAUGGGGGGACCAUCCUCCAAGGCUAAAUACUCCUGACUGACCGAUAGUGAACCAGUACCGUGAGGGAAAGGCGAAAAGAACCCCGGCGAGGGGAGUGAAAAAGAACCUGAAACCGUGU
rnacentral:rRNA from 1 species